GCAUGCACGGGGCCUCGGACCAGCCCUGCUCCCGGGUCUGGCCGUGACAAAACGGGAGCACCUGGGGCACGCGUGGAAAAGAAAGCCAGCACGGAGCGUCAGAUGGGACUCCUGAGACCUCAGAGUGGAAACCGGAGCUCAGGACAGUCGGGCCACCUCUCCAGGAUCACACAGCCACACCUUCCAGCCAGCA